rnacentral:rRNA from 1 species
AUUGAACGCUGGCGGCAGGCCUAACACAUGCAAGUCGAGCGGAUGAAGGGAGCUUGCUCCUGGAUUCAGCGGCGGACGGGUGAGUAAUGCCUAGGAAUCUGCCUUGUAGUUGGGGAUAACGUCCGUACACGGGCGCUAAUACCGCAUACGUCCUGAUGGAGAAAGUGGGGGAUCUUCGGACCUCACGCUAUCAGAUGAGCCUAGGUCGGAUUAGCUAGUUGGUGGGGUAAAGGCCUACCAAGGCGACGAUCCGUAACUGGUCUGAGAGGAUGAUCAGUCACACUGGAACUGAGACACGGUCCAGACUCCUACGGGAGGCAGCAGUGGGGAAUAUUGGACAAUGGGCGAAAGCCUGAUCCAGCCAUGCCGCGUGUGUGAAGAAGGUCUUCGGAUUGUAAAGCACUGUAAGUUGGGAGGAAGGGCAGUAAGUUAAUACAUUGAUGUUUUGACGUUACCAACAGAAUAAGCACCGGCUAACUUCGUG